GUUUUAAAAAAAUAAAAUUAAAAAUGGGAAAAUGUGAGAGGUACAGUAACAGAAACAAAAGAUCCUCAAUCUCGUCCUCUCAUCAUCUCUGACCUCUCUCUCCCUCAACUCUCAUCAUCUCUCAACCUCUCUCUCGACCUUGUUUUCAUUAUUUUGAAUCUAAUCCACCUCAAACUCACAUCAUCUCUCCAUCGCUCACAUUAGCCUCACGACACUAACCAAGAAAUGCACAAAUCCAAGGUUUCAAAAGAGAAUCGAGUAAAAAUUCUCACCUCCGGCGGUGACGACGGCGACGGCGAAGCCUGGACCUUCCUUCUCCGCCUCUUACUCGAGGUUUCUUUUCGCCGUUUUAGGAUUAGGGUCUUUUUUCGUCUCUCGUCCGCCUUCGAAUUUAGGGUUUCUCCUUCUCCUGAAAUCGCCGCCUCCCUCACUGUAUCCGCCCCUCCUCUCUUAUACUCACUAUGUUAGGGUUUUUAGUUGUCCCAAAGAGAUCCAAAGGGGUAUCUUCUGUGUUGCUUUAAGGCGUCCAGACUUUGGUCUGUCUCAUUUGAUACUACGAUCUGGAAACGCAACAAUUCAUGGGCAACUUCGGUUAUUUGCAAAGCUUUGGUGGUGCGACUUUGUUAUGGAUUUAUUGCAGAUUGGUUCAGGUUAGAAUGCCCUCUAAUUUCGACAUACACAUAAGCAACUUUGGUAAUAUAGCCAAGAAAAAUAGGAGUGCAAUUUGAGGGAGAUAAGCUUCGAGCAUUGUCUUCAAAGCGGGGAUAUCCACAACUGGUUUUAGGAAUGGGAGAAGCUCCAACAAAUUCCUCAGAGUCAUGAAUGCAGAUAUGAAUGUGACGGUACUCAUGUAAAAGAAUAUGGCGAGUGCAACAAUGAAAUACGCCAAGUACUGCCUGUAUUCUUAAUUUUCAAAUCAGGCCAUAGUAAUUGACAGGGUUCAAGAGCAUCGAAAACCAACCAUCUAUCAACCGUUUGUGCAUGUAAACUCUGAGACGCAAAUAUUGUAACCACCCUGUUUGAAAGAAAAUGAUAGCAGCAUUUUAUUGCUUCUGGUUUAGCAGUUGUUUUUGAAGCUGCAUAAACUGCUUCGUCACGGGCAAGGAUAAUGACGGCAUGAUGCACUACAUGAGUUAGCUCGGGUCCAAGGGCCGUUUUGGAACUGUUUUGAAGUUUUGGUGCUCAUUAUUUUUGUUCAAGUUCCUUGUUUACUUCACUCAUCUCUGUAAUUUACACUGAUUUUCUGCUUCAGUUCCAUCAACAAGUCCUGUUAACUCGAUUUCUACUAACCUGCCGGAAGGAAUUUGGCCUGAGACUCAGUGUCUUCUAUUUGAUACUGUUUGAUAUUUGCUUGCUUGCUGCUGAUAUCACUGUGGUUAAUAUUGUGCAGGAAGUUGAAGAUCCAAUGGCUUUUUCCAAUUUUCUUACAUUUGGACUCAGGCUCAAAAGGGGCGGUCGGAAGGACUUGAAGCUGAAUUAACAAAAAUCAUGUCUUGUAGUUCACACCAUGCCGACAUUCAUUUACGGAGGACAUGCUGAGUUUGUGGGCGUAAAGGCCCAUGGUAUUCAUUAGGAGGAAUUCGCAUGGUUAUGAAUGGCCUUGAGUUGGUGUGUGUGUGUGUAGUUUGUUGUUGUAGCAUGGCUUGUGAUGGAGAAGCAUGAGGUGGUUUGAGUGAAAAUAAAAGGGCGGACAUGGCAUGGUGAUGAAUUGGAAUGUUGUGGAUUAUGUUCAUGGAGGAUUGCUCGGAAGAGUUUGCUUAGACAUGUAAUUAUCGUAGUCUUUGUUGUGAUGUGAAUUGAAAAUGGACGUAUGCGAUGGUAAUUGAAUGUAAUUGGACAUGAAAAUGUAUGUAUGAAAAUGAGUUUGGAAAUGUUUGAAAGUCCAAUAUUAUUGAAUGUUAUGAAAUGAGUGUAUGUACUAUUUUGAUUUGAAAUGAGUUAUGGAUGGAAAAUGGAUUAUGUUUGUGA